CGAUCAACUCUCUUGGUUCCAUUCUGUCGAUUUUCAGGACUCGAAAACGCGUUAACGUGUUGUUGGAUCCCAUCAGGUACUCGACAUGGCCGAAUCACUGCUCUACGUUCGAUAAAAUCGGACCUAAUAAUCAAAUGACGAUCGAUCUGAAGGACACACUCAAGAAAGCAAAGCGAGCACUGAGAUUCCA